GACAGCCAGGAUGUUGGCUUAGAAGCAGCCAUCAUUUAAAGAAAGCGUAAUAGCUCACUGGUCGAGUCGGCCUGCGCGGAAGAUGUAACGGGGCUAAACCAUGCACCGAAGCUGCGGCAGCGACGCUUAUGCGUUGUUGGGUAGGGGAGCGUUCUGUAAGCCUGCGAAGGUGGCCUGUGAGGGUUGCUGGAGGUAUCAGAAGUGCGAAUGCUGACAUAAGUAACGAUAAAGCGGGUGAAAAGCCCGCUCGCCGGA
rnacentral:rRNA from 2 species